CCCACGGGUAUCUCCCUGUCCAUGGGUGUGAUCUCUCUGGGCUCCCCUUUCCCACACUGCCAACUGCUCCCACGGGCCUGGAGGGAAGUGGGAAAGGUUCCCAACCUGGAGGCCUCCUGCAUCAUGACCCCGUUGGCAUGUGGCCCAGACUCACAAGCUUCACAAGCACAAUGCAGGGAAGAGGGGCUGCCUGGCCAUAAACAGUGGUAGCCAGUGCCAAUAUUUGCCACAUGGUAUGUCUCCUCUGGGACAAGCUGAGUUCCUGAUCUUAUGUCCCACGGAUACCUCAAUAGGGCUGAUCAAGUGUUUUUUCACCAGUGGCUCUGAAUUUUUACCAACUCCACUAAUAAUAAUUGGCAGACAUGGCUUACAGAAGAGGUAGUAUGGGGUGCCCUGGGAGCAAACCACAAGAGCUGUGUUGGUGCCUCUUAGAGUGUUCCAUAGACCACUGCAUCAGCUUCACUGUGGGACUUGUAAAAAUGCAAAUGUCUGGGCUCACCCUGCACCUCUAGGGAUGGAACCUGGGAAUCAACAUUCCUAGUAAGCUUCCUGGGUGAUUCAUUUGCUGUUCCUGAGAUUCAGAACCACUGUCUAGGGAUAAAGGCAGCAUCUGGCAUGCCAUGAUGAAUGUUAUGUUUUAUCACCAACCACAGAUUUGGAGGGAAACUGAGGACCAGGAGCACGCCUCAGAAUGGUCAUUCUAAUUUGUGGGAUGUCCAUCCCACUCAAGUGUGCCUAGUGAUAAGAUAUCUAAAUCACUGUUCCCAGAUGCCAUUGGCAGGCUGCUGCUGCACAUGCCCACACACACAUAGACCCUGCCCCCUUGGUCUUGGUAAGCCACACUAGGCUCCAGUGUUCUUUCAUGUUAUAUGACACUCUCACUGGCCUCGACAAGAAAAUCAAUGAAAAUUCCAUUAGCCUCCUGUGCUGCAUCACUGUGCAGGUGCAGGGUGCUGUUGGCCAUGGCACCAGCAGAGUCAGCAUGCUGGGCUGCAUCCAGCCAGAGAGAGUGAGCACAGAUAACCCCGAGUCAGCAGGGCUUAGCUCCCAGGGGCUCCCCUGGAGUCCAUCCAGCUACGGUGAGCUGAGGAGAAAGACAGUGGGAAGGCUCCCUCCCUUGGCUGCUCUUCCUUUCAGCCAAAUCAGAUCUGUUCCUGGAAUGUGCAGAGCCCUUUCUUUGGCAUCCUUAAUGAUGAUCAAGAAUAGAUUGCUGCUCCAACCAGGUUUCCAUGUCAAGGUGACCGAGUGCAUACAGUGUUAUCCUUCACAGCUCCUUGAAAGCAUCAUCCAGAGUGACAGAAAAACAAGGAGACUGGGAUAUGGGACCACGACCCUGUGGCCAGUGCUGCUGAGGACCUCCGAGACUGAUGGGGCCAUGUGUGAGGCAGGAGAGGGAGAAGUGAGCCUGAGUCGGGAGGCUGCCAAACUUCUGCAUGCUGCAAAGCAGUCAUGAAGCCUCCCUGAGACUCAGUUUACCCAGUUAUGAAAGAGGGAUGGAAUUUCCUAUCUUCCUCACAGGAGCGUUGGGGGAAGCAAAUGUAUUAGUUCAGGGAUCAAACUAAGAUACAUUGCUUAUAUAAAAUGCUCUAUAAAUACAGAGUGAAGGAUGAUAUUGGCAUGGAGGUUUAAUAUAGAAAGCACACCGAAAGAGGUUGAGAAUGAGACUCCUGGGUCGGUUGUUAUUUCCCCUAGUUUGGAUUGUGUGUUACUGUAUGCAUUUGUGCUACACCUAUCACCUACUCUUUAGGUGGGAUAUUUCUUCAGCUGAAUGUGGGAGUCUCACAUGUGAGUAUGUUUUCAAAGAAAGGCUCCCAAAUGUGUCCACCAUAAUUUGGAUGAUUAGGAGGUGGAAGAAGGUGAGGAAAAAGUGAGUCAAGAGGAGCAAAUGAGCACAUGGACAGUUUCCAGUGGGGGCAUACUUAGUAUUGUAGCUUAUCUUGUUACUCACAAAGUAAAGACAUCAAUCCGUGAUUGAUCACUGAUUGUCUAUAGUGGUAUGUUUUAUAGAGGUAUUUUCUCCAAAGGUGGUCACUAUUCAUGCUGCAAAUGCAAAGUAGCUCCUGACUAGAUGGGGUGUUGGAAGGUCUUCUAAGCUCCCAUGGGAUACAGGAAACCAAAGCCAGGUAUAAGAGAUUGCUAAGAAAAAGAACAUAUCAUGGAAAAGGAAAAGAAGAACAAAAUAAUUGGGGUUUUUUAAGCUACAAGUGUGAUGUUUCAUCUCUAGAGAGUAAAUAAAGAUAUUCUGGAAAGUCAGGAGCAGUGUCUACUCCAAAGAGACCAAGAAAAAUACUCAGGAACUGUCAAGAGAAAAUAAUUCUGUUACUUACCACAGGAAGAAGAAAUGUUUCCUCACCGAACUCACUGAGAAGAAUCAGCAACAGUAGCAGCAGAAACCCCACCACCACAACCUUCACCAUCACCAUCACCACAAUAAUCAUCAUCAUUGCAAACAUUGAUUGACUGUUACUAUUUCCAGGCACUGCACAGACCUCAGUGAGAAGAAUCAGCAGCAGUCUCAGCAGCAGCACCACCACCGCCAUCACCAUCUUAUCACCACCACCACCAUCAUCACUAACAUCACCACCAUUGCCAUCACACCACCACCAUAACCAUCAUCAUCACUAACAUCACCACCAUCACUACCAUUGCCAUCACCAUCACACCACUGCCAUCACCAUCACACCACUACCCUCACCAUCAUCAUCACUAACAUCACCAACAUUAUCAUUAUCAUCACUACUAUCAUCAUCACCACAAUCAUCACCACCACUAUCUUCACCAUCACUACCAUCAUCAUGAACAAUACCAUCAGUGCCACCACCAUCAUCACCACCAACACCACUGCCACCACCAAUACAAUCACUACCAUCAUCCCCACUACCUCCGUCACUACUACCACCAUAACCACCAUCAUUGCUAACACUGAUUGACUGUUACUGUUGCCAGAUACUGCAAAAACCUCAUUGAGAGCAAUCAGAUGCAGUAGCAGCAGUACCACUGCCACCACCAUCAUCACCAUCACCUUCUCCACCAUCGUCACCAUCAUCAUGACCAACACCAUUGACACCACCACCACAAUCACCAACACUGUGUCUCCAACACGAUCACUACCAUCAUCACUACCAUCACCACCCUCAUCACCAUUAUGAACAACACCACCAUCACCAUCAAUACCAUUGUCAUCACCAACACAAUCACCACCACCUUCGCCAACGCUACCAUAAUCACCACUAUUACCACUAUCGCCAGCACCAGCAGCAUCAACACCAUCACCACCAUUAUUAUUACCACCAUCAUCACUGUCACCAUCAUCACCACCAACACUGUCAACACCAACAAUACCAGCAUCACCACCACUAACAUAGAUUAUUACUAUUGUCAAGCACCUCACUAAGUGUUUUAUACAGAUAUUUCAUUUAAUCAUUACAACAACCCUAUGAGGGAGAUAAGAGUAAUUAUUUUAUAGAUGAGAAAACUGAGACUCAGUGAGCAUAAAUGACUUGCCCAAAGUCACCCAGAUAAUGAGUAAUGGAACUAGAAUGUGAGACCAGCCACUCUGGCCUUAGAUCCUAUUCCCUUAACACUCUGUACCAGAGACAUGACUUGCAACUUGGGAAGUGUCUAGUCUUCCUGGAUUAGUUGCCUAAAACAAGCUUAACUCAAGGGGUUAAAUUUAUCUCAGAUGUACCACUGAAAGUCGAAGAGAUAGGAUUCAUUGCUAGAGUAUGGCCAUGAAAGGAUACAGCUAUGCAAUAAGUUUUGUUGAAGAAACAGAGAAUUGUGUUGUUUGCCAAUUACAUGUCUUUCUCCAUGGAAUCCACAAGUGAAUUUGAUCACUGGAUGACCAUGUCAAGCAAGAAAAAGUGUAAGGAAUAAAGAAGAGAGAAACUA